CUUUUGAUUUCGCAUGUUGACGAAACUUAAUUCUUUUUAACGGAAGUUGAAAUAUGUAUGUUAAAAAUAAACAUUUACUUUUUUCAAAAUUUUUCCUCAAAAGCGCUUGCUUUACUACAACAACAUGCAUAUAUAGUGUUUUCCUAGGAUCUGCAUGGUUUUAAAAUGAAAUUAUUUUGGAUGAUUAUCUUGUGGAUUGCUACCUUCUGCUGUCUGCUCCAAAUUAAAGCAGGAAACGCUAGGUCAAUCUUGGAGCCGUUGCAUGUAAUCAACGAAGAUGAUCCUACUCUUGACCGGGUUGACAUGCCUGGCAUGGGCAAACGAUUCGCAAGGGCUCUUGAAGAUGACAACAAUGUGACCACAGUCGAACCCUUGACUACCACCAGCUCCGAUGAUGACAAUGACAUUUUUGUCAUCAUUAUUGAUUGGUUCGGCUGGCUUGACUGGCUUCGUUGGUUUUGGUGGUGAUUCAGCCCAAUUUAAGAAAUUUCGAAAAUGAGGAAAUUGAAUAUUCAGGGAUAUAUGGAUUUCAAGAAUUUUAAGAAGUGUAUACUUUUCUCUAUAUCCAAAAAAAUGUGAAAUUUUA